AAUUGUUGUUUGACAUGGGUUUAUGUUAUAUUCCAUCUCUUGCACACUGGACAAGUGCUGGGCUUUAGGCUGGUGUGCAAGGGGUGGAAUAUAUCAUUGAAUCAUGAUGUUUGAGUUUUCUCCUCCAAGUUUAUUUGAAGGAUGAAGGUUAGGUUCUUCUGCUCUAUAUUUCAGUAUAUUUGAUUUGUUGCCUUCAGAUUUGAGUGCAUUCUUCAAGCAAUUAAUGAUUUUUAUUAAGUGUUAAAAAAUAUGGAAAAGGUGACCAUCCGUAUGGAACUUUGAGUGCUCCUCUUCUUGCCGAAUUCGUGCACCAUUGAAGCAACUAGAAUUUUCAAGAAUCAGCCUUCAAUUAAGAUGCUUUGUGACUAAUCAAAUGCUGCUCAAAUUCAUGUUUCAUACGUUUCUUAAGGAUGAAGGAUUCAUUGCCAUUAUUGUGAUGCAAGGACG